CAGAGCCUACCUGGCUCAUAUGGACACCUGGGGACACAGGUGCCUCUCAUGGCAAGUUCAGGCUCCUUCCGGGCCACCCUAUGGCCUCUGUGCCCAGAAACACAGCUGCGCAAUAGACCCUCCAGCCGUCGGCGGGGCCUCUGGUGCUGGGCUGUGGAGUCCAGCCUCUCUCCUGAGGGCAGGAACUCCCAGAGGGCUGCAGCGUCCGCUUGGCAGUCUGAGUCCACUUGUCGGGACAGCGAGGGACGGUCAGCGCCCCUCCAGUUCAGCUGUGAACCAAAUGACCAGGGCGACCUGGACAGGAGCCCUGCCCACGCUGCUCACCCCGUCUAAACUAACCUAGGGUGCAACCUCCCUCACGAAGGCUUUCCUUCCCACCACCAAGAUGCAAGAUGCCACGCCUGGACCAGCUCAAAAUACCCAGUGAGGAGGCUGGCUGGAGAGUCUUCCCUGAGGGCUGGUGUCACCUCACAGCUGGACCUGGGGGGCAAAGAGGGACACAGGGGUGAGAACCAGAACCCUGAGGACCAGCCCUGCCCCGCCCUUCCCUGACCCCCGGAUCCCAUCAUCUCUAAGUGUGCUGGUCAGACCCCUGCAGAGUCUCUGAGUAUUCCGGAGAACCCCCGGAGCUCGCGGAGCGAGGCUGCUGGCUGGCAUGCAGAGACCCGCUCUCCAUAAAUCUCCGUGGGCUCUGACGGUGGGCUUUUCUGUCCCUCGGCCCUCAUAUGGCCCAUUUUGCAGACGGGCACACUGAGGAGAGAACGGGCCUGCCUGGGUCCCAGCGGGGGGGCAGCAUCGCAGCCCUGGGGUGGCCCGGAGGGCCGGUGCCAGGCGGCGAGAACGUCAGGACCUGGAAGGAAACAUCGAUACCCCCUAGGCACCCACGGCCAAUUAGCUGAGGAGGAGGAGGCUGUUGCAACGGCUCAGAUUUUGAAAUUUGACCGUGACAACCACCCUGGCGAACUUGAUUCACCCACAGGUUGGGAGCCUCAUCUUCAGAGCCUGCCUCCCUCCCCGCAGGGGGAAAUGGGACCCGCUCCCUCACCACCUGUGCCUCCCCACUCUGUGAAAUUGGGUGUGUCCUCCCUUUGGGGGGUGUGACAGGUUGAAUCGUGUCCUAAAUGCUUGUGUCCAAGCCCUGAGCCCCAGGACCUCAGCGGGACCUCUUUUGGAGAUGGGGCCUUUCCAGAGGCCAUCCACUUAGAGUGGUUGCAGUGACCCUCAUCCAAUGUGACUGACAUGCUCAGGGCUCAGAGGGGCCCACUGCACCGGGAGACCGCCUGGAACAAUUCUCCCUCGACGCCUGGACCUCAGACCUCCGCCUGCAGAGCCAGGAGACUCUA
rnacentral:lncRNA from 1 species